GAUGAACGCUGGCGGCGUGCCUAAUACAUGCAAGUCGAGCGAACGGACGAGAAGCUUGCUUUUCUGAUGUUAGCGGCGGACGGGUGAGUAACACGUGGAUAACCUACCUAUAAGACUGGGAUAACUUCGGGAAACCGGAGCUAAUACCGGAUAAUAUUUUGAACCGCAUGGUUCAAAAGUGAAAGACGGUCUUGCUGUCACUUAUAGAUGGAUCCGCGCUGCAUUAGCUAGUUGGUAAGGUAACGGCUUACCAAGGCAACGAUGCAUAGCCGACCUGAGAGGGUGAUCGGCCACACUGGAACUGAGACACGGUCCAGACUCCUACGGGAGGCAGCAGUAGGGAAUCUUCCGCAAUGGGCGAAAGCCUGACGGGGCAACGCCGCGUGAGUGAUGAAGGUCUUCGGAUCGUAAAACUCUGUUAUUAGGGAAGAACAUAUGUGUAAGUAACUGUGCACACCUUGACGGUACCUAAUCAGAAAGCCACGGCUAACUACGUG
rnacentral:rRNA from 1 species